UCAAAUCGUGCUGGAAUUACAGGUUCUCAUUCGAUCAUCGAAGUUAAGCAGUGUUGAGCCAAGUCUGUACUUAGAUGGGGGACUGCCUGGAAACACCAAGUACUGUAAG